AGAGUUUGAUCCUGGCUCAGGGUGAACGCUAGAAGUAUGCUUAACACAUGCGAGUCGAACGAAAAAAGAAUGGUUCUUUUUUAGUGGCGUACGGGUGAGUAAUACAUAGGAACUUACCUUUUUGUUCAGUUUUAAAUCCUGAUUAAAAAGAAACAAUUUCGCAAAAAGAUAGGCCUAUGGAAGAUUAGGUAGUUGGUAGGGUAAUUGCCUACCAAGCCAGUGAUCUUUAGCUGUACUGAGAGGUUGGUCAGCCACACUGGGACUGAGACAAGGCCCAGGCUUCCUUCGAAGCCAGCAGUGAGGAAUUUUGGACAAUGAGCGAAAGCUUGAUCCAGCAAUACUCCAUGAGUGAAGACAGCUUUCAAGUUGUAAAACUCUUUGGUUGGUGAGGAUUAUGACAGUAACCUACUAAAUAGCCCCGGCCAACUUCGUGCCAGCAGCCGCGGUAAGACGAAGGGGGCGAGCGUUACCCGGAAUGACUGGGCGUAAAGGGUCCGUAGGUUGUAUUUUUUGUUAAAGGUGAAAGAUAAAAGCUCAACUUUUUUUAAGCCUUUAAAACGUUUAUACUUUGAGUUUGAAAGAGGAUAGCAGAAUUUCACAUGGAGGGGUGAUAUCCUUAGAUAUGUGAAGGAACACCGAUGGCGAAGGCAGCCCCCUGGGUUAACACUGACGCUCAUGCACGAAAGCGUGGGGAGCAAACAGGAUUAGAUACCCUGGUAGUCC
rnacentral:rRNA from 1 species